UACGUAGGGGGCAAGCGUUGUCCGGAUUUAUUGGGCGUAAAGAGCGUGUAGGCGGCCGUACAGGUCAGCUGUGAAAACUCGAGGCUCAACCUCGAGACGUCGGUUGAAACCGUACGGCUAGAGUCCGGAAGAGGAGAGUGGAAUUCCCGGUGUAGCGGUGAAAUGCGCAGAUAUCGGGAAGAACACCCGUGGCGAAGGCGGCUCACUGGACCACAACUGACGCUGAGGCGCGAAAGCUAGGGGAGCAAACAGG
rnacentral:rRNA from 1 species